rnacentral:lncRNA from 1 species
UAAAAGUCACGGGUAACAAAUCUUAUCUUGAAUUUGAAUUAGAGAUUUAUUUUGUAUUUUUAGGGGGCAGCUUCAAAGAAAGUAAAAUAUGAGAGAUAUGUAUCACGCAUCACAACAGAUGCAGUUGUGGAAAAAAAGUAAAAGAUGGUUCCUCAGAAUGCAGUUUAAACAGUAGAAAGAAAAGAAACCUGACUUGGGAUGAGAAAAUCCAUCUUGAAGGCAAUCCACUGAAUGGCUUCUUCAGUUAUUUAUUGUCAAAAAAGAAUGCAAACCAUGGCACAGGCAUAUCCAACCCUUUCAACUGUGAGGAAAAGAAAAUCUUGCUCCAACAUCGUCAUUGCAUAAGUCUAAAGUAAUAUACAGAAAUUUUCAAGUAAAGGAUUAUGGUCCGAAGUAAAAAACUCCAUUUCUUAUUUAAAAAAAUGAGAAGGCUAUCUGCUUUUCUUCUCUCCAUCCACUGGUUGAUCCGUUUCAGAGUCAUAUUGGCAUUUUUCCACACAUUUCCUAGGGAACCAGCCUCGUUCUCUUAUUCCACCAUCACCAGCUGAGUUAAGAAUCUUCUCACCAUACAUCCAGUGUUUUAGGCCUCUUGUGGCUAAAAUCAGAUCCCCUUUACUCAGUGCAAUUCUAGGUUCUUCAGUACAUGGUGUUGUGAAGAAUGUUUUAACACCUUUAGUCACAGGGCAGCAGACACCACUGUAAUCUUCUAUGGCUCGAUACCGCACACUUCUUACUCGCUUGUCUGCUUUCUGUUUCAGUUGCUCUAUCGUCAAACUGUAUCGAUGACAGCCUUCUCUCACUGGCCAGUCCAGGCCAUCUCCCUCCGGAAUCCCAGACCACGUAAACACUUGCUUGAAGUUCUUCCAUUUGCUUCCCAUAUCAUAUGGAAAAAUAAAGGUUUCAUCUGUUUGGUAGUACUGAAUUCUGUCUUUGGCCUUUUCUUCAAUCCAGGACUCGAUUGAAGUUUUGUUUGUCAAAAUGACUUUCAUCUGAAUAAUAAACAGCAUACCAACGGCAAUUGUUGUUCCUAAUGCCAGUCCUAAGGCAAAUAAAGAUGCAGCAAAUGCAGACAGUCCAAAGGGAAUAAUGGUUCGAGGGUCUCUUUUGGCUGCACUCAUGUCAAUUUUUACAGAACUCC